GUGGACGCUGACCCCUCCAUCCUGGAGGCUGGAGCCCCAACCCAGGCCUGCUGGGUGCCGAGGGCCUCUGCCUGGCCUGCAGGCGCACCUUCUGGGUCUUCACCUGGCCUUUCCUCUGUGGGGAGAGGGGAACCCAACCCCGUCAGAGUGGGAUCUGCCCUGUGACCUCCCCUGACCUUAAUCUACCCCCAAAGGCCCAGCUCCUGAGAAGCCCACGAGGGCGAGGUCUCCCCAGUCCUGAGCAGGAGAGAGGUCACAGGGGCAGCAGGAGGGACGAGCCAUGCAUGUGGGCGUAGCUCACCUGACUGCGUUCCAGGCCAGACACUCGCGUCAGGACGGAUGGAGCCCUCAGGCUGGAGGGGCUCGGCGCUCUCAGGCCUCCCAGCGGGGCAGGGCACAGAUGCUUCAAGAAUGCUCGUUAUCCUGUUCUCAAAGCGUGGUAAAUGUUGAUACACACAAGCACAGCUCACAGUGUCCUCAACACCUUUCCAGUGUAUCCAGGACCCUGAGAGACAGAGUUAAGAACCGCUGCCACCCCCACUUCUGCCCGGUUAACCAGGCUCCUUGGAGAAGCAGCCAGUUCCAGAUGUGGAGACAAGUGCGAGACUGCUGGUGACUAUAUAACAUCCAGCUGAAGACUAGCAGGGGGGUACUCUUUCUGCCCCCUUCUGAUGCCUAUGUCAGAAGCUUUCUCUAUCUCCUUUAUAC
ensembl:lncRNA